AUUUGCUACCUCUGGUAGUUGUUUGUUAUCAGUGAGUUCAUUGCUUGGGAAAAGACAUCUAAUUUGCAUAAACUAGAUGACAAGUUCUGAUCACUUUCAUUUCAAUUUUUUUUUUCUGACUUGCUGAGAAACUUUAUUUUCUUUUUUCUCCUUUUAUUUCUCUUUUAGAAGGAUAAUUUUAGAAAUAGAAUUUUAUAAAAAUGUGACGUUAUUUAUUCAAACUGCUUCUUAAAACUUGUGCAAAAUGGAACCAAGAUAAACAAUAUGAGGUGGUGGGAGUGAGCAACCUGUCCAUGGGAUGGAAUGUAACCUUUGUUAGUUUUUUGAACUUUAAAUAG
rnacentral:misc_RNA from 1 species